UCCGCGCUCAAAGAAUCGCAUUCGAAGCUCACGAACAGAGGCGUCCUUGACCCUCAAACCCAUAUCAGCUUCGGGAGAAAGUCCCCGGACACCCUGUCUCUCCUCUGUCUUCGGACUCUGGAGACUGCUCAGGACUGCGGAAACGCGCCGCCAUAAAAGCAAUUUUUCUGCGGCUUACGCCUACCUUCGCCUUCUGCCGGCAUUGUGUCCUUCUGGACGCUGGUCCUCGCUCCCAUACAUGGCUCGACCUUGUGCCGUUUGUACUCUCUGUCUGCUUAUCGACGAUUUUCCAGCUCGGGUCUGUGUCGCUUGCGCUGAGGGAGGGACCGCCUCGAAAGAGGAUGGGAUGAAGAUAUGAGUCCGAGCCCUCCUCUCGGCCUGGUUGAUACUAUGGCCUUGAGUGCUUAUGGGAUCUUGUUCAAGGAGCGGGGGAGGAGGUGACAAGGGUACGAAUUGGAGUCGGGACUGGGACAAUCACAGCUGAAGGAUUUACUCUCCAAGAGAGAGGAUGCAUGUUUGGUGAAAGGAGAAGGUUUGGUUGCCAUUCGUCGUGUUUGGAAAGUUAUGCGAUUGCCUUUCCUGAGCUUGAGGGCUUGGCCUCAGGUGAAAGAGAUUGGUAACUCGAUGGGGCUUAUUCUUGAGGCGCGG
rnacentral:RNase_MRP_RNA from 2 species